UACGGAGGGUGCGAGCGUUGUUCGGAAUCAUUGGGCGUAAAGCGCGUGUAGGCGGCCAUAUAAGUCUGGUGUGAAAGCCCGGGGCUUAACCCCGGAAGUGCAUUGGAUACUGCAUGGCUAGAGGACGGGAGAGGGAAGCGGAAUUCUUGGUGUAGGGGUGAAAUCCGUAGAUAUCAAGAGGAACAUCAGAAGCGAAGGCGGCUUCCUGGUCCGUUACUGACGCUGAGACGCGAAAGCGUGGGGAGCAAACAGG
rnacentral:rRNA from 1 species